UCUACGGGAGGCAGCAGUGGGGAAUCUUGCGCAAUGGGCGGAAGCCUGACGCAGCGACGCCGCGUGCGGGAGGAAGGCCCUCGGGUCGUAAACCGCUUUCAGCAGGGACGAGGCCGCAAGGUGACGGUACCUGCAGAAGAAGCCCCGGCUAACUACGUGCCAGCAGCCGCGGUAAUA
rnacentral:rRNA from 1 species